CACGCGGUCCAACCAACCUACCAAAACCUAGCUAGAUUUAGAGGAAAAAAAAAACUGUCCCCAACCGUGAGAUGGCUGAGUACGGCGAGCGCUACCAGGGCAACGGCGACCCGGCCACGCCCGAGGGUGGCUACGCGCAGACCGAGUACGCCGCCGCCGGUGGCUCGCCGCCCGCCGACCGCAAGCCCUCCGUGUUCUCCGACCACGCUGACGGUCGCUCCUCCCAGCCCCAGCAUGAGACUCAAUCACAUGGCAGUGGUUCCUCCAAAUCUCGAGAAAGGGACCGAGAACGUGAUAAGGGAAAGGACAGGGAGCGAGGCAGAGACCGUGUCCGCGAAAAGGAGAGGGACCGAGACAGGGACAAGGAUCGUGAAAGAGGUGACAGAGACAGGGAUCGUGAUCGCCACCACAUGGAUCGUCGCGAGCGCAGCGAGAUAAGGGAACACCGUGAUCGUUCUGAUGAUCGUGACCGUCACCGCGAUGAUCGUGACCGUCGCAGGAGUCAUGAUUCUGAGAGGAGAAGAGAUCGUGACAGAGAUGGCCAUCGUAGGCAUCGCUCCCGUUCCCCUUCUAUGAGUCGUGACCGUGACCGCAGAUCUAGAUCUCGUUCACGCUCUAGAUCGAAGAGCAAGCGCGUGAGUGGUUUUGACCAAGCACCUACACAACAGGCACUUCCUAUUGUUGCUGCUGGUGUUAUCCCUGGUCAGCUGCCUGGUGUCACCGCUCCUAUUCCUGGGGUUGGGGUGCUUCCAAACUUGUAUAAUUUGGCUGCAGGACAGCCACAAGCCAUGACACAACAGGCUACCAGGCAUGCUCGGCGUGUCUAUGUGGGCGGACUUCCUCCAACUGCUAAUGAGCAGACCGUUGCCAUAUUCUUCAAUGGAGUUAUGGCUGCUAUUGGAGGAAACACAGCUGGUCCAGGUGAUGCUGUUCUUAAUGUCUACAUAAACCACGACAAGAAAUUUGCUUUUGUGGAGAUGAGAUCUGUGGAGGAAGCAAGCAAUGCAAUGGUCUUAGAUGGCAUAAUGUUUGAGGGAGCACCGGUCAAGAUUAGAAGACCAACGGACUAUAAUCCUUCCCUAGCAGCUGCUCUGGGCCCGAGCCAGCCAAAUCCAAAUCUCAAUCUUUCUGCUGUUGGCUUAACACCUGGCUCUGCUGGAGGAUUAGAAGGUCCAGACCGGAUCUUUGUAGGUGGUCUACAAUAUUACUUCACUGAGGCCCAAGUGCGGGAGUUGCUUGAGUCCUUUGGACCUCUGCGUGGAUUUGAUCUUGUAAAGGAUAGAGAAACUGGUAACUCGAAGGGAUAUGCCUUCUGUGUGUACCAGGAUCUUAAUGUUACCGACAUUGCCUGUGCUGCUCUUAAUGGCAUCAAGAUGGGAGACAAGACUCUUACUGUUAGGCGGGCAAACCAAGGAGCUUCUCAGCCUAGGCCAGAGCAAGAAAGCAUCCUGUUGCAAGCACAGCAGCAGGUGCAAAUGCAGAAAUUCGUAUACCAAGUUGGAGGUGCCCUGCCAACAAAAGUUGUAUGCCUGACACAGGUAGUGACAGAAGAUGAACUGAGAGAUGAUGAGGAAUAUGAUGACAUUGUGGAGGACAUGAGGGAGGAAGGACACAAAUAUGUCCCGCAUAAUGCCAUUGCAGAUUGUUUUGUAGUCCGACCUUAUGCAAUAGUGGCAAUCGGGCCUUAACCCACAGAAGACACUAUUCUUUUGACUUUGAUUAAUCAUUUUAUUAUUAGCGCGUCUUGUCUAUAUAUAUCUACUCUGCUCACUAAGAUUUGGACAGGUAACUUGGUGAAAGUUGCAAUUCCACGGCCUGACCCCAGCGGUGCUCCUGUUGCUGGUGUUGGAAAGAUGUGGAGGGCUCAACCAAAGCAAAGACAGGGAUGCAUGGGCGGAAAUUCGGCGGGAACCAGGUGGUGGCGGUGUUCUACCCUGAGGACAAGUUUGCAGCUGAGCAGUACGACUGAAAAGUUUUAGAACCCCUAUUCUAGAGUUGCAGUUGUGGCACACAAUGUGGUUGUUUUGACCUUUUGUAGUUAAGUUUGGUGAUUGAUCCGCUGAUAAGUGAUAUAAGUUUCGUGCUCAAGUAUUAUAUCAGCUGGUAAGAGUGAUACAAGUCUCGUGCCCAAGUUUCGGUCUAUCAAUCGACUGCAUGUUGCCCUGUUGGCUUCUUGCACACUGAGUGAUGUGAUCUUGUAUGACAUAUACAACAUCUAGGAUCUAGUAGUUGCUGCAUUAGAAUGCUCAUUUUAAGCGGUUAUAUUGCCAA